GGCCUUCCGUUGGGGGCCUCGGGGCUCAACCCGGGCCUCGAGGCGGAAGCCUUUCUUGUCGGCCGCGCUUUUCGACGUUUAGGGUUCAAUCUUUCAAGGGCGUUUACGGGAGAGAAGGAACUGAAUUCGGUGGCUUCUUAUCUUCCUAUUAAGAAUUCUGAAAAAUGUUGCCUACUUCAUCCAUCUUCACCACUCCAUACAACUUUAUAAGAUGGAUCCAUUUUCAAAUAAUUUUCUAAAAAUGUCUACAAGGUCUACAUGGAAACCAGAAGCAUUCUAGUAAAGAAAAGAUUAUGCCACAGGCUGAUCAUUUGCAACUAUUUUCAAAUUAUUUACUUUUUAAUUGCAGUGUUUGAAAAAGGUUUUUAAAUUACUUGCUAUCCAGCCCCAAACAUCUCAGUUGUCUGUCUAUAUCCAAUUCUACCCUAAGUAUGUUACAGUUAAAUAUCUUGUUAAAAUAAAAUUUAAGUGUAAAAAGAAAUCAACUAUGAAGAACUACCACAAGAUAAAUAAACCAUCAAGCUGCAUGUACAAAUCAAUUCCAAAACCUCCAUGACCGUAUUUGUGGAUAUUUCAUUAGGAUUUGUUGAAGAAGUAUAAUAAAUAUAUAAGCAAAAGGGUUUGGAUUGUAUAUUUUCUCCUAAGUCAAUGAUCUCUUGAUUACUUGUUGUGAAGUAAACAGCUACUUUUAGUACCAUAGAGCAAAGUCUCCUUUGCCAAUCACACCUUAGUAGUUUUUUGAAAGCACUUCUGCCUCCUUCUAAAGAAGGGGACUUCUGAUCAUGUUAAAAAAUUUUAAAAAGUCAGGAGAAGAGCACGCAUGUGUUAGGAGAUUACCUUUAUGGCCUCAACAGAGACCGCAAAUGUUGUAAUGGAGGGUUUGUUCUUGACAAGUCAAUGUAGGAAGCAAGUUGUCACUGCUUUGUGCCAAAAAUCAUACCUGGCAAUAUAAACAGGAAUACCGAAGAAGAGAAAGGAAAAGAAAUUAAUUGCUGGCUCAAACAGCUAGAGCUUUUUGGAAUUCUGUGGCUAAGCUAAAAACAUCGAGCAGAACCUACUUCGAGAACAAGAUUGCUCUAAUCAGCUACUCUAAAGACUGACCAGAACCCUAACAUGCCCCACCAUGGAGAAGCACAGAAUACUAACCAAUGGUUAUAUAGACACUGCAUAUUUUUUUUACUGUGAUUGCAACUUUAAGAACAGUUUUAAACAUGCUACAUAAUUGGAAAUACAACACAUAUUACUGGUGCCUUGUUUUUUUGUCCUAAGCACAUUUGCACACUAUUUAAUGUAAAUUAACUAAAAAUUGAAAAAGCAUCUUGGAAGAAAGCAGUAGUAAACUAUUACAGUAUUGCCAAUUUAUUAUUGCCAAAUUACCAGGAGUUUGAGACUACAGAUCAAUGAGUAAAUGUUAUUUUUAUGUUUGUACAUAUAGCACAAUCCAAAUCUGGUUCAAUUAAAGAUGCUUAAUGAAAACUACAGGGAGAAUCAAUUGAAAUGAUCCACUGUUGUCCACUCACUUUACAGUAUAUAA